UGGGGAAUAUUCGGCAAUGGGCGAAAGCCUGACCGAGCCAUGCCGCGUGAGUGACGAAGGCCUUAGGGUUGUAAAGCUCUUUUGGCGGGGAAGAUAAUGACUGUACCCGCAGAAUAAGCCCCGGCUAACUUCGUGCCAGCAGCCGCGGUAAUACGAAGGGGGCUAGCGUUGUUCGGAAUUACUGGGCGUAAAGCGCACGUAGGCGGACUGGUCAGUUGGGGGUGAAAUCCCGAGGCUCAACCUCGGAACUGCCUUCAAUACUUCCAGUCUUGAGUCCGAGAGAGGUGAGUGGAAUUCCUAGUGUAGAGGUGAAAUUCGUAGAUAUUAGGAAGAACACCAGUGGCGAAGGCGGCUCACUGGCUCGGUACUGACGCUGAGGUGCGAAAGCGUGGGGAGCAAACAGGAUUAGAUACCCGUGUAGUCC
rnacentral:rRNA from 1 species